rnacentral:lncRNA from 1 species
GCCCGUACGGGGACUUGCUUCAUCGGCUUGUGAGCUCGAGUUCUGGUAAGUGCCCUUUUCUUCCUUAUGCCUUUCUCUUUUUCAAGGAUGGAUCUAGAUUCACUGCUCCAUCGGGAACUUUCUUGGAUGGUUGUAUGAAUCCACGUUUGCUGCCCAUGGCUACUCUAUGGGGCAAAUUGUGGCAUUCAGCUUGAAGAGAUUCAGUACCUUAAGCCUCAGGGUGAUGGAGAAUGAAUUAAUCCAUUCCUUCCUGACUCUAUCUCUAAUAGACAAAUUUUACGUGGGCGCGGGUCGGCCACUUAAGUCAUUAGGACGGCCGCCAAUCUCCAAGACUCCCGUGGAAGGUUUCUUUUCCUAAGGCUGGAUUGGGAUCCCUCCCUCUGGCACCUGACCACGCUCUGAACUGCGAGGAAAGUCCCACUCGGGACUCCAGUUCAAGGGAAGUACCAAACUCUAACCUUUGGUGGAGUAUGGGAACCCCUUCUUGGGAGAAUGGCUCCAGGAUGCAAUUGGGUAGAAUGUCCCCCAGACUGGCGGAAAAUUCCUCACUGUCUUUCUCUUUCUCACUGUCUUUGUCCUUUUCUCUCCUGGGGACCAUACGCCAGGCACCUAUUCCUGCCAGGCAGAAUAGGGAAGAUGUUCAAGGGAUGCCCCCAUCAUACCUUGCUACAGGAACCCCAAUGGGGGGAUUUUCAAGGUAAUGGCUCCCUUUCUCUGGGACCAUUCACCAGGCACCUAUUCCUGCCAGGCAGAAUAGGGAAGAUGUUCAAGGGAUGCCCCGAUCAUCCCUUGCUACAGGAACCCCAGUGGGGGGAUUUUCAAGGUAAUGGCUCCCUUUCUCUGGGACCAUACGCCAGGCACCUAUUCCUGCCAGGCAGAAUAGGGAAGAUGUUCAAGGGAUGCCCCCAUCAUCCCUUGCUACAGGAACCCCAAUGGGGGGAUUUUCAAGGUAAUGGCUCCUUUUCUUUCUCCUUUUCUCUCCUGGGGACCAUACGCCAGGCACCUAUUACUGUCAGGCAGAAUAGGGAAGAUGUUCAAGGGAUGCCCCCAUCAUCCCUUGCUACAGGAACCCCAUUGGGGGGAUUUUCAAGGUAAUGGCUCCCUUUCUCUGGGACCAUACGCCAGGCACCUAUUCCUGCCAGGCAGAAUAGGGAAGAUGUUCAAGGGAUGCCCCCAUCAUCCCUUGCUACAGGAACCCCAAUGGGGGGAUUUUCAAGGUAAUGGCUCCUUUUCUUUCUCCUUUUCUCUCCUGGGGACCAUACGCCAGGCA